GCCCUACGGGGGGCAGCAGUGGGGAAUAUUGGACAAUGGGCGAAAGCCUGAUCCAGCAAUGCCGCGUGAGUGAUGAAGGCCUUAGGGUUGUAAAGCUCUUUUACCCGGGAUGAUAAUGACAGUACCGGGAGAAUAAGCUCCGGCUAACUCCGUGCCAGCAGCCGCGGUAAUACGGAGGGAGCUAGCGUUGUUCGGAAUUACUGGGCGUAAAGCGCACGUAGGCGGCUACUCAAGUCAGAGGUGAAAGCCCGGGGCUCAACCCCGGAACUGCCUUUGAAACUAGGUAGCUGGAAUCUUGGAGAGGCGAGUGGAAUUCCGAGUGUAGAGGUGAAAUUCGUAGAUAUUCGGAAGAACACCAGUGGCGAAGGCGACUCGCUGGACAAGUAUUGACGCUGAGGUGCGAAAGCGUGGGGAGCAAACAGGAUUAGAUACCCGAGUAGUC
rnacentral:rRNA from 1 species